ensembl:lncRNA
UGCAUGCAGAGGACUUUUUCUCAAUGGCCAGGAACCGUAUGGUUUGGAGCAAGCUUCAGUUCAAAUGGAUCCCAUCUGUCGGUGCUUUGUGAACAACUGCAUCUUUGUGGCUGUGCUUAACAGGCUGAAACAAAUUCCAGUGUACUGGGCAUACAGUAUCCAAGAAGACCAGUUGUUUGACCCUUCAAAGGAUAAUUUUGUAAGCAAGAUCAGCAGCAGGUACAUGGAUCCAUUGGAUAUCAACUCUAUCUUAAAAGAAGAAGAAAGCUUUAACUUCAGACAUGGAUGGCAAAAGGGAAAAGAAGAAACACAUAGCGAGCCAUUUACUUAUAUAAUAAGUGGAGUAAUUCCCUCAAACAAGGUUUGUAAAGGAAAACAAACCAACACCUUAAGCAUUUACUGGAGUGCUUAUCAUCAUAUUGGGUUUAGAAGGACAUUUCAAGGAGCUCUCUUAAAAAGCAACAAUAAACAUAGCAGAUGGAUACAGGUAACCCUGGAGAAACUUGAAAAUAUACUCAAGCAGAUGUUUGUUGCACCUACACCAAUAAAAAUCUUCAACUACCACACGGACAGAAGUAUUAAACAAAGACUGAGAAAAAAGCAUUCUGACCAACAAAACACACGGGCUGAGCAGGCAAUUCAUCAAGAAGAAAAUCAAAAAAUGCCAUUUGAAAGUUACACAUCCAAAAGAAUAAAUUCUUUUUUGAGUCAGUAUGCUCAGCAAAAUCCAGACAAGCAGAGUAGAUACAGAGAAGGCAAAAAAUUUGAAGAGAAAGUUCAACUAAACACAAGCAUGAAUAAAAAUUCCAAUGAUGAAAAAAUGCAAGGAUUGGAAACAUGUUUUAAAAUGCUUUUUGAAAGUAUGGUAAUUUCACAAAAACAGCAGGUGAAAAACCAAAAAUAUACCAAACAAAAAAGGCUAAAACGACACAAACAUAUUGAAGGGAUGACAAAAGACAACAUGGAUGAUUUGUCCAAAAGAGUAGCACAACCAACAUGGACAUCAGACGGACAAAGUAAAGAAAAUUCUCUAAAAGACUCUAAACGAAAACACAGAUGUCAGAAAAAUGAAUCUGAAACCAAUAAAAAUGAGGAAACACUGUCUGAAAAAGAAAAAGAGAGAAAAAACAAUACACAUGCUAGAAACCCAACAAAUGAAGUGCCACAUAAUAGAAAAAACAAGACAGCAUCUGCAAAUCGAACUGAAAACAUAACUCUACCAAAUCAAGAACACGACUCUCCAGCAGGGAAAGCUGAAACACCCACUGCGGCCGAGAAUGGAGGUCCUCCGCCAGAGAGCAAAGGUGGCACUUCAUCUACAGGGCAGGAAGCUUCUACUGAAGGCGGUGGUGAAACUUCACCAUCCGGUGAAGGACUACAACCACCAGCAGGGGAUGCUGAAACACCAACUGCGGCCGAGAAUGGAGGUCCUCCGCCAGAGAGCGAAGGUGGAACUUCAUCUCCGGAGCAAGAAGCGCCAUCAGAGGGCGGCGGUGAAACUUCACCCUCUGCUGAAGGAGCACCACCACCAGCAAGGGAAGCUGAAACACCAAGUGCAGCCGAGAAUGGAGGUCCUCCGCCAGAGAGCGAAGGUGGAACUUCAUCUCCAGAGCAAGAAGUGCCAUCAGAGGGCGGCGGUGAAACUUCAUCCUCUGGUGAAGGAGCACCACCACCAGCAGGGGAAGCUAAAACACCAACUGCGGCCGAGAAUGGCGGACCUCCACCAGGAAGCAACGGUGGAAGUUCAUCUCCAGAGCAAGAAACUCCAUGGGAAGGUGGCGGUGAAACUUCACCCUCCAGUGAAGGAGCACAGCCGCCAGCAGGGGAAGCUGAAACACCAACUGCGGCCGAGAAUGGAGGUCCUCCGCCAGAGGGCGAAGGUGGAACUUCAUCUCCGGAGCAAGAAACUCCAUCGGAGGGUGGCGGUGAAACUUCACCCUCCGGUGAAGGAGAACAGCCGCCAGCAGGGGAAGCUGAAACACCAACUGCGGCCGAGAAUGGAGGUCCUCCGCCAGAGAGCGAAGGUGGCACUUCAUCUCCGGAGCAAGAAACUCCAUCAGAGGGCGGCGGUGAAACUUCACCCUCUGGUGAAGGAGCACCACCACCAGCAGGGGAAGCUGGAACACCAUGUGCGGCCGACAAUGUCAGUCCUCCGCCAGAGAGCGAAGGUGGAACUUCAUCUCCGGAGCAAGAAGCGCCAUCGGAAGGUGGCGGUGAAACUUCACCCUCUGGUGAAGGAGCACCACCACCAGCAGGGGAAGCUGGAACACCAACUGCGGCCGAGAAUGGAGGUCCUCCGCCAGAGAGCGAAGGUGGAACUUCAUCUCCAGAGCAAGAAACUCCAUCAGAGGGCGGCGGUGAAACUUCACCCUCUGGUGAAGGAGCACCACCACCAGCAGGGGAAGCUGAAACACCAAGUGCGGCCGACAAUGGCAGUCCCCCGCCAGAGAGCGAAGGUGGAACUUCAUCUCCGGAGCAAGAAGCUCCAUCGGAGGGUGGCGGGGAAAGUUCACCCUCCAGUGAAGGAGCACAGCCGCCAGCAGGGGAAGCUGAAACACCAACUGCGGCCGAGAAUGGAGGUCCGUCGUCAGAGAGCGAAGGUGGAACUUCAUCUCCAGAGCAAGAAACUCCAUCAGGUGGCGGCGGUGAAACUUCACCCUCCAGUGAAGGAGCACAGCCGCCAGCAGGGGAAGCUGAAACACCAACUGCGGCCGACAAUGUCAGUCCUCCGCCAGAGAGCGAAGGUGGCACUUCAUCUCCAGAGAAAGAAGCACCAUCAGAGGGCGGCGGUGAAACUUCACCCUCUGGUGAAGGAGCACCACCACCAGCAGGGGAAGCUGAAACACCAACUGCGGCCGACAAUGGAGGUCCUCCGCCAGAGAGCGAAGGUGGCACUUCAUCUCCGGAGCAAGAAACUCCAUCAGAGGGCGGCGGUGAAACUUCACCCUCUGGUGAAGGAGCACCACCACCAGCAGGGGAAGCUGAAACACCAACUGCGGCCGAGAAUGGCGGACCUCCACCAGAAAGCAACGGUGGAACUUCAUCUCCGGAGCAAGAAACUCCAUCGGAAGGUGGCGGUGAAACUUCACCCUCCAGUGAAGGAGAACAGCCGCCAGCAGGGGAAGCUGAAACAGCAACUGCGGCCGACAAUGUCAGUCCUCCGCCAAAGGGCGAAGGUGGAACUUCACCUCCGGAGCAAGAAGCUCCAUCAGAGGGCGGCGGUGAAACUUCACCCUCUGGUGAAGGAGCACCACCACCAGCAGGAGAAGCUGAAACACCAACUGCGGCCGACAAUGUCAGUCCUCCGCCAGAGAGCGAAGGUGGCACUUCAUCUCCGGAGCAAGAAGUGCCAUCAGAGGGCGGCGGUGAAACUUCACCCUCCAGUGAAGGAGAACAGCCGCCAGCAGGGGAAGCUGAAACAGCAACUGCGGCCAACAAUGUCAGUCCUCCGUCAGAGGGCGAAGGUGGAACUUCACCUCCGGAGCAAGAAGCUCCAUCAGAGGGCGGCGGUGAAACUUCACCCUCCAGUGAAGGAGAACAGCCGCCAGCAGGGGAAGCUGAAACACCAAGUGCGGCCGAGAAUGGAGGUCCGUCGUCAGAGAGCGAAGGUGGAACUUCAUCUCCGGAGCAAGAAACUCCAUCAGGUGGCGGCGGUGAAACUUCACCCUCUGGUGAUGGAGCACCACCACCAGCAGGGGAAGCUGAAACACCAACUGCUGCCGACAAUGUCAGUCCUCCGCCAGAGAGCGAAGGUGGCACUUCAUCUCCAGAGCAAGAAACUCCAUCGGAGGGUGGCGGGGAAAGUUCACCCUCCAGUGAAGGAGCACAGCCGCCAGCAGGGGAAGCUGAAACACCAACUGCGGCCGAGAAUGGAGGUCCGUCGUCAGAGAGCGAAGGUGGAACUUCAUCUCCAGAGCAAGAAGCGCCAUCGGAGGGCGGCAGUGAAACUUCACCCUCCAGUGAAGGAGAACAGCCGCCAGCGGGGGAAGCUGGAACACCAAGUGCGGCCGACAAUGUCAGUCCUCCGCCAGAGAGCGAAGGUGGAACUUCAUCUCCAGAGCAAGAAGCUGCCUCAGAGGGUGGCGGUGAAACUUCACCCUCCAGUGAAGGAGAACAGCCGCCAGCAGGGGAAGCUGAAACACCAACUGCGGCCGAGAAUGGAGGUCCUCCGCCAGAGAGCGAAGGUGGCACUUCAUCUCCGGAGGAAGAAACUCCAUCAGGUGGCGGCGGUGAAACUUCACCCUCUGAUGAAGGAGCACCACCACCAGCAGGGGAAGCUGAAACACCAAGUGCGGCCGACAAUGUCAGUCCUCCGCCAGAGAGCGAAGGUGGAACUUCAUCUCCGGAGCAAGAAGCUCCAUCGGAGGGUGGCGGGGAAAGUUCACCCUCCAGUGAAGGAGCACAGCCGCCAGCAGGGGAAGCUGAAACACCAACUGCGGCCGAGAAUGGAGGUCCGUCGUCAGAGAGCGAAGGUGGAACUUCAUCUCCGGAGCAAGAAACUCCAUCAGAGGGCGGCGGUGAAACUUCACCCUCUGGUGAAGGAGCACCAGCCACCAGCAGGGGAAGCUGAAACACCAACUGCGGCCGACAAUGUCAGUCCUCCGCCAGAGGGCGAAGGUGGAACUUCACCUCCGGAGCAAGAAGCUCCAUCAGAGGGUGGCGGUGAAACUUCACCCUCCAGUGAAGGAGAACAGCCGCCAGCAGGGGAAGCUGAAACACCAAGUGCGGCCGACAAUGGAGGUCCGUCGUCAGAGAGCGAAGGUGGAACUUCAUCUCCGGAGCAAGAAACUCCAUCGGAGGGUGGCGGUGAAACUUCACCCUCUGGUGAAGGAGCACAGCCGCCAGCAGGGGAAGCUGAAACACCAACUGCGGCCGAGAAUGGAGGUCCGUCGUCAGAGAGCAAAGGUGGAACUUCAUCUCCAGAGCAAGAAGCGCAAUCGGAGGGCGGCAGUGAAACUUCACCCUCCAGUGAAGGAGAACAGCCGCCAGCGGGGA